rnacentral:rRNA from 1 species
UGAACGCUGCGGCAUGCCUAACACAUGCAAGUCGAACGGAAACGACGAAAACAAUCCCUUCGGGGUGCGUCUUCGGGCGUCGAGUGGCGGACGGGUGCGUAACGCGUAGGAAUCUACCUUUUAGUGGGGGACAACUCGGGGAAACUCGAGCUAAUACCGCAUAAGCCUUACGAGGGAAAGCAGGGGAUCUUCGGACCUUGCGCUAUUAGAUGAGCCUGCGUCGGAUUAGCUAGUUGGUAGGGUAAUGGCCUACCAAGGCGACGAUCCGUAGCUGGUCUGAGAGGAUGAUCAGCCACACUGGGACUGAGACACGGCCCAGACUCCUACGGGAGGCAGCAGUGGGGAAUAUUGGACAAUGGGCGCAAGCCUGAUCCAGCAAUGCCGCGUGUGUGAAGAAGGCCUUAGGGUUGUAAAGCACUUUCAGUAGGGAAGAAAAGCACAGGAUUAAUACUCCUGUGUCUUGACGGUACCUACAGAAGAAGCACCGGCUAACUCCGUGCCAGCAGCCGCGGUAAU